rnacentral:lncRNA from 1 species
GGAAAAAAUAAAACGUGGAAAUAAAUAAGGGAAGUAAAACACGAACUACUAUUUCUCAAUCAAAUCAAAUAACAAGACCUAAACUAAUUUAAGCAAUGUGACACCUAUUUAUUAUUCCCUCCAAUAUUUCUCUCUAAACAAAAAAGACCAAAAACCUUUUUUCUAUCACACUCUCUCUCUCUCUCUCUCUUUUCAUCGACCAAACCAAACGCUUCUUCACUCUCUCUUUUCUCCUUCGAUGUCAGAUUUUGAAUGCCACAACAACAACACCAAGCCCUAGAAAGCCAGAGUUCCACGAAAUGUCUAAAAUGCCCUUCCUCCUCCGUUUAGCUACCAUUUUCAUCUCCUUCUUUUCUGCCUUCUCUCCGCCGAUCAACGUCUUCACUCUCGCCACUUAACUCCAUCAACCUUUUUUCCNN